GACAGGGGUGCCAAGCGUUAGGCGGAAUCACUGGGCUUAAAGCGUGUGUAGGCGGACUGGUAAGUACCUUGUGAAAUCCCACGGCUCAACCGUGGAACUGCUCGGUAUACUGCUUGUCUUGAGCCACUUAGGGGCUGUCGGAACAAACGGUGGAGCGGUGAAAUGCGCAGAUAUCAGGAGGAACACCGGUGGCGAAGGCGGGACUCUGGGCCGAUGACUGACGCUGAGGAGCGAAAGCGUGGGGAGCAAACAGGA
rnacentral:rRNA from 1 species